rnacentral:lncRNA from 1 species
CCCCCAUAAACCCAUUUCUGGAUCUAACUACGGCUCACUCACCCUUCGUUGAUUCCCAUUCUGCAACUUAAAGGUUUCGUUGCUUGCUCAAUUUUGUGAAGUGGGUCUGUUUCUCUCUGGCUCCAGAAGAUGAAGGUCAUCGUAGUUACAAGGAGUGGUAGAGAGCUUUUCAAGGGUGGCCUUGAGCUCAGUGACUCUGAGGAGAUCCAUAAGCGAUCAUAUGGGAAAGAAGAAAUCUACAUGUACUGAAACCCACCUAGUCCUAGAUAUUCAAACUCU